UAAAACGAAACGCGAGUGAAAAAACAACGAAAACAUUUAAUAGCAACUUGAAUUUAAUUAAUUUGUGCAACAAUUACAUUGGGAAUUCAGAAACCAUGCAAGGAGAGUUGGCCAAUGGAAAAUGUGUAAGCCUCUGGCCAGGUUGGACGCGCAAAUUGCUGCUCGUUGGAUCCUUGCAAUCUGCGGCUUUUGUAAGUUGCCGCGAGCCCGCGGCACCAAAGUGCAUUGUGGCACAAUUUGUAUUGCUUGCCUCACCGCCCGCAGCCAUUCCGCCCGCGCCCGCACCCCCGCCACCUUCUUGCAGCACUCCAUGUGCAAAUCAUAGUGCAGAAUGCGGCUGCGCUACAUUAAAUUUCAAUUUCAUGUUCAUUUAUCGCGACUUGAAGGAGCCCAGGGUCUCUGAGUGCGACGGUACAAUUCGCGGGAGGCGGGGGUAGAGGCGUGGCUAGAGGGGCCGCUGCUGCGUUUCGUGCUGGGCACGGAAGUCACAAUGUCAGUAGCUGAACUUAGCCAAGGCCGCAGCUAGGCGAAAAACUUUUGGGCCAAGUGCGCCAAACUUGUGCGUAAGGUGAGAGGGGGGAAGGGGGGCGGACGGGAGGCACGGUAGUUGCCUAGCUGCCAGCGAGCGAUAGCAAAUGCCGCGUUUACGCAAGUGUUUGCCAAGUAAAUAUGUAAAACCAACAAGCGCACACACACACACACACACGCACACACAUACAUAUGCAUGUUGCAUAAAAAUUAAGCAAACUGCACUUGUAGCAGCAACAAAAACAUCAGCAACAACAACAACAGCAAGUCGCAAAAACUUGCUGCCCAGAUCCAAAAAUGCAACAGUCGACAGCAACUUCCGCUGUGCGUCACGCCGGCUGCACAACCCACUUCGACAACACCAACGUGCCCCAACGCCCUUCGAGCAGCAGCAGGAGCUGCCUGACUGGCAACAGCUACAGUUGUCGCUCGAUAAAUGCAACAUUCCCGUUUCAAAGAGGAAAAGGACUAUUUCCGAGCGACCACUGUAGCAAGCAACACAAAAAAGAUAGGAAGAAACAAUUGAUGCUGCAAAGUUUGCAGCAAGUUUUAGUUUUUUCUCCGUGCUUUUGUUGGUGCUGCUUAGCCGAAGGGAUUGGAGCAUGUGCAAGUUGGGCAGCUGAAACUUUAAGCCCCAAACGUUGUCGCUGCUGCGUACGUGUUGGUGUUCAUUACGUACGUGUCCUUUUUGCCAUUUUACUCAAGUUGUCAGCGUGCCACGAGAAGCAGAAGCAGCGCUGCACAUGGACACACGAACUUAAAAAACACGCACGUGCAAACUGAAAGGUGGAUGAUAAGAUUUGACGCAUUCUGGUAUUUGAUUAGACUCUAAGCAGCUACAGCUAAAAUCUCUUGAAUGAAUAAUUUAAUGGGGCUUGCUACUUGAUUAAAACUAAAACAGGUAAGUUCA
rnacentral:sRNA from 1 species